GUGAGCACGAGCGGCGGGUCGCGGAAGGCGCCGACGGAGGCGAAGCUCAAGGUGGCGAUCAACGGGUUCGGGCGCAUCGGGCGCAACUUCCUGCGGUGCUGGCACGGGCGCGGCGACAGCUCGCCGCUGGAGGUGAUCGCCAUCAACGACACCGGAGGCGUGAAGCAGGCGUCCCACCUCCUCAAGUACGACUCCACGCUGGGCAUCUUCGACGCGGACGUCAAGCCCGUGGGCGACAACGCCAUCUCCGUCGACGGCAAGGUGAUCAAGGUCGUGUCCGACCGCAACCCCUCCAACCUGCCGUGGGGCGAGAUGGGCAUCGACCUCGUCAUCGAGGGCACCGGCGUCUUCGUCGACCGCGCCGGCGCGGGCAAGCAUCUCGAGGCCGGAGCCAAGAAGGUGCUCAUCACCGCGCCCGGCAAGGGCGACAUCCCCACCUACGUCUGCGGCGUCAACGCCGACCUCUACACCCACGCCGACACCAUCAUCAGCAACGCCUCAUGCACCACCAACUGCCUCGCCCCCUUCGUCAAGGUCCUCGACCAAAAGUUCGGUACGUGCCCGUCUCCCUCCCUCUCUCUCUCUCUCAACUGAAUCAACUUGUUGACGAUGACUAAUGGCGGCGGUGGCAAUGGCGCAGGC
rnacentral:lncRNA from 1 species